UGAAUACGAGACGCUAAGGCGUCGAAGUAGUGUAUGUCAUACUUCCGAGAAAAGCUUGCACUGUCAUAGAUAAAAAACGCCUGUACCAUAACCGACACAGGUGGGUAGGUAGAGUAUACUAAGGGGCGCGAGAUAACUCUCUCUAAGGAACUCGACAAAAUGACUCCGUAACUUCGGGAGAAGGAGUGCCUUAUUCGUAAGGUUGCAAUAACAAGAUCCAAGCAACUGUUUAUCAAAAACACAGGUCUCCGCUAAGUCGUAAGACGAUGUAUGGGGGCUGACGCCUGCCCAGUGCCAGAAGGUUAAAGAAGUUGGUUAGCAAUUGCGAAGCUGAUAACUGAAGCCCUGGUGAACGGCGGCCGUAACGAUAACGGUCCUAAGGUAGCGAAAUUCCUUGUCGGGUAAGUUCCGACCCGCACGAAAGGCGUAAUGAUUUGGAUACUGUCUCGGAGAGGGGCUCGGUGAAAUAGACUUGUCUGUGAAGAUGCGGACUACCUGCACCAGGACAGAAAGACCCUAUGAAGCUUUACUGUAACUUGAAAUUGAAAUUGGACUUUAUUCGCGCAGUAUAGGUGGGAGGCGUUGAUUAUAAUCUUGUGGGAUUAUUGGAGCCAUCAGUGAGAUACCACUCUUGUAAUGUUAGAUUUCUAACUUUGAAUCAUUAUCUGGUCAAAGAACAGUUUCAGGCGGGCAGUUUGACUGGGGCGGUCGCCUCCUAAACGGUAACGGAGGCGUACAAAGGUUUCCUCUGAACGGUUAGAAAUCGUAUCUAGAGUGUAAAGGCAUAAGGAAGCUUGACUGUGAGACCUACAAGUCGAGCAGGGACGAAAGUCGGUCUUAGUGAUCUGACGGUACUGAGUGGAAAGGCCGUCACUCAACGGAUAAAAGUUACUCUAAGGAUAACAGGCUGAUCUCCCCCAAGAGUUCACAUCGACGGGGAGGUUUGGCACCUCGAUGUCGGCUCAUCGCAUCCUGGGGCGGUAGUACGUCCCAAGGGUUGGGCUGUUCGCCCAUGAAAGCGGUACGCGAGCUGGGUUCAGAACGUCGUGAGACAGUUCGGUCCAUAUCCGGUGUAGGCGUUAGAAUAUUGAGAGGAGCCUUCUUUAGUACGAGAGGACCGAGAAGGACAUACCUCUGGUGUACCAGUUAUCGUGCCAACGGUAAACGCUGGGUAGCUAUGUAUGGAGUGGAUAACCGCUGAAAGCAUCUAAGUGGGAAGCCCACCUCAAGAUAAG
rnacentral:rRNA from 1 species